UCUUUUAUCAUCUCCGUAUGAAACAAGCCACAAAAGCCUCCACCAAUUACCAACACUCAGCUUUCUUUUUCCUCCACUGUAGGCACCGCCAAAACUCUGCAACAACAAAGCAAUCACCAUCUCCAAAACAACAAACCCUCCACCCUGCAACAACAAUGCAAUCACCAUCUCCAUGAACAACAGUAACAAAUCCUCCACUGCAAACAACAAUAACCCUUCUACUGCAAAAAACAACACUGCAACCCACCACAAACAAAUGACAGUGGAAAAAAAGUAGAAAAUACAAAAUAAGAAAAAUCAAAAGAAAAUAAGAUCGGAACAACAAUGCAACUGUCACCCAAGAACUCUUUCUGCUUUUGGUAACUCACCACCGUCAGUGUCCCAUCGCCGCCACACACAGCGGCGCCCCUCUUCUCAACAUUCACGUUAUCUUUUUUCCUCCUUUUGGUCCGAUCUAAUCCCUUGCUCGCGCACGAAUUUGGCGGCCGCAGAUGGCAACAUCCUUGAGCUGCCGCUGCACGGUUUUAGGGGGAAAAAAGGAGACGGUAGAAGCGGAUGAGAUCUCUUUAUGGUAACAGGAGUUUCAUCGAGAACACCUGCGGAUUUGAGAAGAAAAGGGGAGAACUCCUGCGGAUUAGAGCAGAAAAAGGGAGGACACCUGCGGGUGAGAGUUUCAUCGAGAGCAGAAAAAAAGUGAGAGGGAAAGAGAAAACACCUGCGGUAGAGAUGGAGAGGGUGGACUGAGAAGGAGAGGGAAAGAGGGAGAGAAAGAGAAAAGAUAGAAAGGGUAAAUUUGGAAAAUAAGUGAAAAAGGAAAUUUAAAAAAAAAAAAAGGAAGAAGAGUUUGAACCACUGAUUUCGG
rnacentral:lncRNA from 1 species